rnacentral:rRNA from 1 species
AUGGUUGGAUGAAAAGUUUACUUUCUUUAUUUUAAAGAUAAAAUUUGAUUUCUGAAUUAAAAAGUUUAGAUAUCAUUAAAGGACGAGAAGACCCUAUAGAACUUUAUUUAAUUUUAAUUAAAUGUUUUAUUGACAAUAAUUUUUAUUUAAUUUUAAUUAAAUUUUGUUGGGGUGACAAAAAAAAUUUUUUAACUUUUUUUAUUUUUUUCAUUUAUAUAUGAGUUUUUGAUCCUUUUUUAAGGAAAAAAGAUUAAGUUACCUUAGGGAUAACAGCGUUAUUAUUUUAGAGAGUUCAUAUUGAUAAAAUAGUUUGCGACCUCGAUGUUGGAUUAAAAUUAGUUUCAGGAGCAGAAAAUUGAUUACUAGGUC